AAUGACUUUUCUUCUAAAAUCUAAAAACUAGAAGAACGAUUGAUUACAAUAAAUCUUGUUGGUCGCAGCGCUCGGCCCGUUAAGGGGAGGUCAGGGGGUGAGUAAAUGUACUGGGCGGGACUAUACUAGGGAGGUAGGGUGCAGCAAGGGUGGAAGGAAGGGGGUUGGGGUGAGGUAGAUGGGGGAGGGGGUAAUGUUCAGUAUCAGUAGAUUUAGAUCUGUGAAACAAACACUAUCAUACGUAGUUAUACUGUGUAGUAUUCAGUUCCUGUAGAGAGAGAUGUCCUUUUUUAAUUGGGAAUAUUCAAACCUAAACAAUAUACCAGAUAGGUUCUACAGCAACAGACAAAUUCAGUCCAAGACUCGGGAGAUUGCAGAAGACGACCCACGCAUCCCAAACCGAUUCAAGAAAGAUCAAAAUGAUUGCGGCAUUCAAGGAGAAAAUGUGCACAUGAGAGACCUGCUCAGACAAGGGAAAAUACCUCAAAGAUUUUUAUCCGAGCAAAUGCUUGAGAACAAUUUUACACAGUUUUGAUGAAUAUAAGUUUAGUUUUUAAAGAAAUAUAUUUUUGAUGACUAUUAAGUAUUAGAAAAAUAAAAAAUAUUAUA